AUGGGCAGCUGCGCCCUCUGCUACGUGGCCCUGUUUCUCCUGGGAAGAGGACCCACGCAUGCUGAAAUCUACCAGACUCCAGCAGUCCUGCUCAGCAGGGCUGGACGCCAUGUGACCCUGGAGCGUAAACAGAACUUGCGAUACAAUGCAAUGGACUGGUACUGGCAGGACCCAGGCCGAGGUCUGAGGCUGAUUUACCACUCAACGGUUGAAAAAGAUGUUCAGAGGGGAGACGUAACUGAAGGCCACAGUGUCUCUCGAGAGGAGAAGGCGCUACUUCCUCUCACUUCCUCUCACUGUGAAGCUGGCGCACACCAAACAGGCUUGUACCUCUGUUCUGGAACCGCACCACAGUGGAGCACGGCCACUGGCCACCUGCACGCACACCUGCUGCAGCCCGUGGCCCCACUGUUGUAA